UACGUAGGGGGCUAGCGUUGUCCGGAAUCAUUGGGCGUAAAGAGCGUGUAGGCGGCCCGGUAAGUCCGCUGUAAAAGUCAAAGGCUCAACCUUUGAAUGUCAGUGGAUACUGCCGGGCUAGAGUCCGGAAGAGGCGAGUGGAACUCCUGGUGUAGCGGUGGAAUGCGCAGAUAUCAGGAGGAACACCGGUGGCGAAGGCGGGUCUCUGGGCCGAAAUUGACGCUGAGGAGCGAAAGCGUGGGGAGCAAACAGG
rnacentral:rRNA from 1 species